GAGGGUAUAGCUCAAUGGUAGAGUGCCUGCCUAGCAUGCACAAGGUCCUGGGUUCAAUCCCCAGUGUCUCCA
rnacentral:tRNA from 1 species